rnacentral:sRNA from 1 species
UCACAGGAAGAAUCUCAAAUAUGGGAGGAAGUGAACAUACCUUGGUUGUCUUAGGAGGGAAAAAAAAAGAGUCAGAGUCACAGUGUCACAAUGAUUAAAGAAAAAGUUGGGGCUGGCAGCAGCCGACACCCUUUCUAUUGGUGAAAGACUUCUGUAGAGAAUGUGGCCAAAGAGACACCUAGGCUCAUAAAGGCCAGAAUUCUGACUCCAUGUUCUAUGAGGUCACAAGAGCUAAUUCUCCAGCAUAGCUGAAAGUUCCAAUGUCAAGUUCUCUGGGGACACAGAAUACUAGAGUGCUGCAGACAUGGAGCUCUGCCCUUCCUCCAGCCCCAGCCUGCGCACCUUAGCUCUGGCUGCCCCUUCUGUGCAUCAGCUGGAAUUCCCCAGGAGGUAGAGGAGGUUUUGCACAGGGGAAGGCCGUCAAUCACCGGAACUGGGAGGGUAGGACCGUGCUGAGAGGGGAACCCAAGUUCUCAUUCAGGGUGGAGCAACAGCUAAGUCCUGACCAACCUGAGGCAGGCUCGACCUGAUGAAGGGACAGCUCAUCGGGAUCCCUUGUAGUAGCUGGCUCCCCUACAGUCUGGAAUGCCUCAGGGCCAACGUGGGAUCAAGCAGGAAAAGGAAACUGCUGGAUUAACUGUGCCAAACUCAAAUCACUAUGUUCAGUGAAUUACAAGGAGCCAAAGGAAAUGAUGAGGGUAGAUAAGAGACUAAGGUGAACCAAAUGUCCCUAGAGGCUCUAACUGCUGUAUGCGCUUGAUCCCACCAUCCUACUAUCCCUUGUGCCAUAGGUGAGCAUGUGACGAGCGACUACUUGGAGCCAAACAUUUAUGUCCUCCUGAGUCAACUUGUGAAGCUACACACAUGAGACAGUGUGGGUAUGCUGCAUAAUCAGGUUCUUCCUUGAAGACCACUCAUCUCGCUGGUUGAUUCUUGAUGAGGCAGGUGGCAGGAGCUUGGCUUGUUUGAACCCUUCAGGGUCAGAAGUGGAGCAAGAAGACUAGGUUCUCAGAUACUGAGCUAUAAUCACCAACGUUCCUGCAACCUGCUAUUGAUUUCCAAGGUACAUCACUGGCCACAGGCCCCUCCACACAAUAUGAAUGUCCUUUAGCAAUGUGACCCUUGGCACACUGGCCAACUCAAAGGAGCAGCUGCCAUUUCUGCACUUCUAAAACAAGACUGGCUGCGUUAUGGUGAAGGCAUAUGAUGCCUUAUCUGCCCCAGAUCUUGGUGUUGAACUUCUAAAGUCCUGGGACUAAGUGAUGGGCUAUCUCCUAGCCAGGGUUCCUUGGGCUGCCUGUUAGCCAGGGUUCCUUUAACCACAUUUCCAUUCUGCUAAUGGGAUUGGGAUGGGGCCUGGUCAGACCUGGUUGGAAGGUGUGGGCUCUGAGCUCAAACCAAGAAGACUAACAAAAGUUGUGCUCCCUGGUUGGUGAGUAUGUGUCAGGAGGGUGGAUGCCAGGUUCCAUGGGGGCAAUAGGGACAAUGGGGACGUGGGGAAAGGGUGCACACAAGCUUCACAGGUGGGACUGCCCAGAUCUCGCCUUAUGAGCCUCACUUUUUGUCCUUUAUAAUACGACUGCAGUUGUCUGAACAGGACCCUUCUUGAGAUCUUCUGAGUUCUAGUAAGUUAUCAAACAGGAUGGGGGGUUUGUGGGGACUCCCAAAUUUAUAGCUAGUAUAAAUAGCUUACUGUCUUCUCCUCCUUCAUGACUACCACCUAGAGUGUGGCCAGUGUUCUCAGGAAAUGUGUGUAUGUGUGUGUGUG